rnacentral:rRNA from 1 species
UUAAUUGAAGAGUUUGAUCAUGGCUCAGAUUGAACGCUGGCGGCAGGCCUAACACAUGCAAGUCGAGCGGUAACAGAAAUUAGCUUGCUAAUUUGCUGACGAGCGGCGGACGGGUGAGUAAUGCCUGGGAAUAUACCCUGAUGUGGGGGAUAACUAUUGGAAACGAUAGCUAAUACCGCAUAAUCUCUUCGGAGCAAAGAGGGGGACCUUCGGGCCUCUC